rnacentral:rRNA from 1 species
UACGUAGGGUGCGAGCGUUGUCCGGAUUUAUUGGGCGUAAAGAGCUUGUAGGCGGCUCGUCACGUCGGGUGUGAAAACUUGCGGCUCAACCGCAAGCCUGCACCCGAUACGGGCGGGCUAGAGUUCGGCAGGGGAGACUGGAAUUCCUGGUGUAGCGGUGGAAUGCGCAGAUAUCAGGAGGAACACCGGUGGCGAAGGCGGGUCUCUGGGCCGAUACUGACGCUGAGAAGCGAAAGCGUGGGGAGCGAACAGG